rnacentral:rRNA from 1 species
AAUCUUCCGCAAUGGGCGCAAGCCUGACGGAGCAACGCCGCGUGAGUGAAGAAGGCCUUCGGGUUGUAAAACUCUGUCUUUAGGGAAGAAGCCUUUAGUGUGAAUAAUGCUAAAGUUGACGGUACCUAAGGAGGAAGCUCCGGCUAACUACGUGCCAGCAGCCGCGGUAAUACGUAGGGAGCAAGCGUUGUCCGGAAUUACUGGGCGUAAAGCGCGUGUAGGCGGCUUUUUAAGUCAGAUGUGAAAACUUAGGGCUCAACCCUGAGAUUGCAUCUGAUACUGGAGAGCUUGAGUGCAGGAGAGGAAAGUGGAAUUCCUAGUGUAGCGGUGAAAUGCGUAGAGAUUAGGAGGAACACCAGUGGCGAAGGCGACUUUCUGGCCUGUAACUGACGCUGAGACGCGAAAGCGUGGGGAGCAAAC